AAUUUUUCAGUCUGCGUCGCACAUUCGCUUUACUUGCAAUUCAAACCAUACGUUGGUCUAAAUAUAUUUAUUAAACUAUUAAAUAAAUAAGUAUAAAAAAAAUGGCGAUCAAAAGAUUAGAAUCUUGCUGUUGUUGUUUCGAUUUGAAAACAGGAGUUUUGGUCAUCGGAAUUUUGAGUAUUGUAAUAGCUAUCGGUGGGUUAAUCGAAGUACCAAUUUCUUAUAAUGCAGCAUGUUCCGGCCAUAGAACUAUCGACAAUAAUGUAGAAUGUGCUAAAGCGAGUUCAAAAUUGGGCUCCUCAAUAAGCAGUGGAGUUAUUGGGAUUAUCUUGAUGUCUCUAACCAUCUAUGGAUCUCAAGCGGAAAAUUACCGAUUCAUGCUGCCAGCUAUAAUAUUGCAAGCAAUUGGCCUAGUGAUAAUGUCUAUUAUCUUUUGGUAUUUUAUAAUUAUAAUCUUCAUAUUUUCUGUUGGAUAUGGAUUUUUAGCAUUAUUCAUAACCCAUUUAAUAUUAGUAUUUUGUGUAUAUUUUUGGCUGGUUAUGUACAGCCGUUGUGAAGAAAUCAAGAACAUGAGUUAUACAGCAGCUGACAUCGCAUAAAUUAUUAACUUAUGAUUAAAUAAUUGAAUUUUUUUUCAGUUAUUUUUAUAUUUAAGUAUAUUUUUGAUAUUCCCGCGUAAAAAAAAUUCGUUCCAAAAAGAUUCCAAAAACGUUCCGCAUGUGGAACUUCUAAACAUGAGACAGAUUAGAACUUCGAAUGGAACUUUUUUGGAAUAUUAGUAAUUUUGAUAGUAAAAAAAAAGUUUUUAUGAGCAAAUUUAGAGUAAAAAAAGGACGUUUUUGGAAUUUUAUAUGGACAUUCCAAAUAAGCUCCAGAAUCACCACUUUUGACUUUUUUAUGGACUAAAAAAGGCGUUCCAAAAACUUUCCAAAAUUACUACUUUUGCAUCUUUUGAAGACUAAAGACAUUCUAAAAACAUGCCAAAAUAGUUCAAAAAUCUACUUUUGAAUUUUUUAUAGAACAAAAAAAAAGUCCAUGAUAACUUCCAAAAACGUUCCAAAAACGUCCUUUUUUGACUCUAAAUUUGCUCAUAAAAACCUUUUUUUAAUAUCAAAAUUACUAACGUUCCAAAAAAGUUCCAUUCGAAGUUCUAAUCCGUCUCACUUUUAGAAGUUCCACGUGCGGAACUUUUUUGGAAUCUUUUUGGAACGAAUUUUUUUUACACGAAUUAUAUAUCAUAUACUUUUGCUAUACUGAAGUAUUUAAGCUUCCCGGGAAAAAAAAUUAUAUAUAAUUAUAUGUGAAACAUGGCGCAAUAUAAUUACAUAUAAUUAUCUACAAUUAAAUAUAAAUACAUACAAUUGUAUACGAUUUUAUUUAUAAAAAUCACAUUAUAUAUAUUUAUAUAUAAUACCAUAUAAUUAUAUUGGGCCAUUUUUUAUAUAUAAUUAUAGGGGAGACCGGGCAGGGCGGCUCCCCUAAGCCGAUUAUUAAUUUUUGUGGCUUUCGACUCUGAAAAAAAAUUUUGAAAGAAGCUCCCCUCCAUAAAAUGAUAAAUUUAUUUUUUUGGCUGUCCCGGGUGUCACGCGUAGAGCUAAAAAAAUUUUUGAUCAAAAUUUCAGGGGGGGGGGUCUUUGCCCCGGUCUCCCCUAUAUAAUUAUAUAUUAUUUUAUCUAAUUAUAUAUUGAUUACACAUGAUUAGAUAUUAAUCGCAUAUAAUUAUAUACAAUCAUGUAUAAUUAUAUAUAAUUUUUUUUACCUGAGUUCUUAUUUAAAAAAAAAACAAUAGUGGGCUCAAAUUAAUUUUUGACUGCAAAACUUCAGCGUUUAAUUAGUUAAUGCGACGUAGCAUUCAGUACUGAAAAUGACAAUAUUUCAUAAGCCUGAAUCCAAAAGGAUUACAUUGAUUUUUUUUCUCAUUAAUGGAUAAUAAUAUUUAUUAUAUAUAUAUUUAUACUUAUAUUUAUAUUUAAUAUGCGCUUAUUUGAUAAAGUUUUUGAGACGGCAUCAAAAAUUGAAAGCUCUGUCCAUAUUUACAAGUAACUAUUUACAAAACUUAUUAUAUGCCAAAUGCAUAUAUAUAUAUAUAUACAUGUAUAUGAAUCCGUUUAUGUGGAGGAUGAAAUUCUCUGAUAAUAAUGAAAGUAUUAAGUAUUAAAUAUUUUGAAAUCUUAAAAAUAUUGUUGAAGUUGAAUAUAAAGACAUUGUAUUGCUAGUUAUUGAUAUAAAUUAAUAUAUUUAGUCAAUUAUAUGACAAUUUUAAGCUUCAUUUUUUAAAAUUAGCUUAAAGAUUGAACUAUGGCCUGAAAAGUGGAGCCUUAUGAUGAUUUUGGAACUGUGAUAAUUUGGAGGAAUAUAUAAAAGUUCGAAAUAUUUUCAUAUUUUGAACUAAAAAAGUAAAUAUUCUAUAUGUUUAUUCGUAAUUAUUUACUGAACUAUCAGUGUGUUGGUAGACAAACAUACAGAAUGUAACCCUGAUCAAAAAUAUUGAUUGAAAACAAUUGAGAAGCGAUCGCUCCAUGCAAACUGUAUAUUUAUAUAUACAAACAAAAAAAUUGAAAUCAAUUGAAAUUAUUGAAAAGAAUUCGAAUUUCAUCACUUUUAAUUAAUUUCAAUCAAUAUUUUUAAACAGGGAAAGAUUCAAUUUUCGUUUUUGAGCUGUAACUCUUGGAUAGUUUUUUAAAAUUGUAUUUAAUACUGUAGUUCAAGCUAUUUUAUGAGUACUAAAAAGUUCUAUGGUAAUUUUGGAGUUAUUAUUAUGGAAAGAAAAAGUUUAUUUGUUUGGAAAUUUAAUAAAACUCGAACGAAAGCAGAGUGAUUUAAAAAAAAGGUUUAAAGCUUAUAUAAGAAACCGAAAAAAAAUUUUGAAAAUGAGCUAUAAAUUUUUUCUGGAACCAAAGGAAAUUUAAUUUCUCUUCAAAUCGCUCUACAUGAAAAGAAAAUUAUGGAAACAGUUCCCAUGAUUCUAUAAAAUUUUUUCCUAUACCAACACAGGAAUUAUGACCAUAAAUUAUGGGAGCAGUUCCUAUAAUUAUAGGAAUGUCUCUUAUAAUUAUUGGAACAGUUGCUAUAAUUAUGGGAACGCUACUCAUAACACUAUAGGAAUGUUUCCUAUAAUUAUAGGAAUGGUUCCUAUAAUAGUACAGGAACUAUUCCCAUAAUAUUAUAAGAAUGGUUUCCAUAAUGCUAUUGGAAUAGUUCCUAUACCAUUACGGGAAUCAUUCCCAUAAUAUAUAGGAAUGAACUCUGUACACGGAAAGAAAAUUAUGGCAGCGGUUCCCAUAAUUUUGUGAAAUUUUUUCCUAUACCAUCAUAGGAAUUACGACCAUAAAUUAUGGGAGCGGUUCCUAUAAUUAUAGGAAUGUUUCCCAUAAUUAUAGGAAUAGUUCCUAUAAUUAUGGGAAUGAUACCCAUAACACCAUAGGAAUGGUUCCUAUAAUUAUAGGAAUGGUUCCUAUAAUUUAUAGAAAUACUUUCUAUAAUAUCAUGGGAAUCAUUCCUAUAAUUCAUGGGAAUGGUUCCUAUAAUUUAUAGGAACCAUUCCCAUAAAUCAUAGGAACUAUUCCCAUACUAUUAUAGGAACCAUUCCUAUAAUAUUAUGGGAAUGGUUCCCAUAUUAUCAUGAAAAAAUUAAUUUAAAGAAGUGCGGUAAUCACUUCCACAAUACACAGAAAUAUUAUUAAACAUAAAAACAAAAAUUCAAACAUUGAAAAAAAAAAUCGUAAUUGGCAAAAAAACAUUAAAAUUUUUAACAAGAAUAAUUUGUCAGCACAAAACAUUCCGAAAAUUCAAAUUGUGGGAAAUUUCUACACUAUUGUGCAAAAAAAUAAUUAAAUGAUAUUAUAGGGAUGGUUCCCAUAACAUUAUGGGAAUAGUUCCCAUAAUAUUAUAAGAAUAGUUCCUAUACCAAUAUGGGAACCAUUCCCAUAAUAGUAUGGGAAUGAUUCCUAUACCAUUAUGGGAAUGGUUCCCAUAAUGGUAUGGAAACUAUUCUCAUACUAUCAUGGGGAUGGUUCCUAUAAUAUACGGGAACCAUCCCUAUAGUAGUAUAGGUACUAUUCCCAUACCAUUAUGGGAACCAUUCCCAUAAUGCAUAGCAAAACUUCCCAUAAUUUUCUUUCCGUGUACUUUAUAGGGAUCAUUCUCAUAGAUUAUAGGAACCAUUCACAUAACAUUAUAGGAAUGGUUCCUGUAAUUAUAGGAAUGGUUCCUUUUAUUCAUAAGAAUCGCUCCUACAAUAUAAUGGGAAUCAUACCCAUAAUGUAUAGGAAUGAACGAUAUAUUUUAUAGGAAUCAUUCCCAUACUAUUAUGAGAACUAUCCACAUAAUGCAUAGCAAAAGUUUCCACAAUUUUCUUUCCAUGUAGACUUCGUAUAAAAAAAAUUCAAAAAAUUUUUUUCAGCUUCCAAAUAAUUACCAGCUCCGAAAGUGUAUAUCUCGAGCUUAAAAUCAUUUUCUUUCUGUCUAAAUCCAACUAUUUUGACCAAUGCUACAGCUUUUUAAAUUUUACUUAUUUUUAUAAACGAUAACAAACUACAGAAUUACUUAUUUGGUCAGUAAAUCAGCUUGUAAAAUAAAUAAAUACCGUUUGCAUGUAAAUGUUUGCAUUUAAAGCCGUUAAUGCGAAUACGGCAAAAUAAAAUUCAAAAAAAGUAAAUAAAAAAAAAUACUCAUACUGAAAUAAUAAUCAUUUAUUCCUUACUACAAUCUGUUAUUUUCAACCCCCAGUUACUGAGCACUGAUUGUUCCACCGACCAGCAGAGGCGCGACUGUAGCGUCUUCUCUACCCUCCGCACUACUUGUACAUAUUAUACAUUUUCCGCAUAUUCAAUACAAAAGAAUCUAACACGAGGCCUACGAUAGCCAAUAAGAGAACAGAGAAAUUAAAUUUCUCCUUACAAAAAAUUUUUUUUGGUGCUAUCGCAAAAUAAUUUCGGUUCAAAAUAACAAUAAAAUUCAAAUUAGACUCCAACGUUACCUAAAUUUUGUCCAUCUUUCGCUACUUUUUUUUUUUCAUAAAUAAGCUUUUGUAAAAUCGAACCUAUCUAUCAGUCGAAGCGAUAAGUGAAAAGCUCAUGCGCGUCAGAUGCUAAACUGGAAUCGAGUUAUCUACCGCAAUAUUAAUGAUUAAAUUUCUCAGUCUGCUUCGAACAGUCGCUUGGAAUUCAAACCUACGACGGUCUAAAAAAAUUUAUUUAACUAUUGAAUAAUUAAGUUUACAAAUAUGGCGUUUCAAAAAUUUGAAGGCUGCUGUUGUUGUUUAGAUUUAAAAACUGGAGUUAUGGUUAUCGGUAUUUUGGGUAUCGUAUUAAAUGUCGGCGGUUUAAUUGAGGCACCAAUUGCUUACAAUAACGCAUGUUCGGGCAAUAGAACUGUCGAAAAUAAUCGUAUUUGCGCCAAAGCAAGUUCACAAUUGGGCACGUCAAUAAGCGGUGAAGUUAUUGGGAUUACUUUGAUGGCACUGACAAUCUACGGAUCUCAAACGGAAAAUCACAAAUUAAUGCUCCCAAUAAUAAUUGUACAAGCAGUUGGACUUGUGAUAGCAUUCAUCAUCUCAUGGUAUAUAAUAGUUACCUUCUUUAUGAUGUCUACUGGAUAUGGAUUUUUAACAUUAUUUAUUGGAAAUUUAAUAAUUGCUGUUGCAGUGUAUCUGUGGCUUGUUAUCUACAGCCGCUAUCAAGAAGUAAAAAAUUUAAGUUAUGCGGAGGCUGAUAGUCCAUAAAUUAUUUAUUAAGUAUAUUUAUCAAAUUAAUCAAUUGAUUCAUCUUUUUAAUUAUUUACAUAAUUCAUGAUAUUUUUGAUAUUGUAUAUUAUACACAUAUUUCUCAAACAUUGAUAUAUUCGAUCGUUCUUCAUAUUUUAUAAAUUCUGACAAAAUAAUUUAUAAAUUUUAGACGCAAGCACCUUAUUAUUGUUGCUACCGAAGAUUUUAAUAUUUUUGCACACCUCAAACGCGAAGCGUUUGGGUGUGCUCUACUUGCACACGAAUUGAAAAACAAUAUUUUCUCACAUUAAAUCAUCUCAACGUUUUUUAUAUCGCACAUAUAGAAUUUAAAGCAUACAACAAACAAAUAUCAAGAGGACGCUAUCAAACAAACAUGGUGUUAUUUUAGAUAAUUAAAUUCAGAUGAUGAAAAGAAAUGAUAACCAAUUUCACUUAAUUUUUUUAUGCCGUCAAUUGAUCUAUGCAGAUGAAUGCUUCUAGGGUAAAACUGGAUCGCAUUAUUUGUAUAAAUCGCGGCCAUAUAUUGUUUCAUUAUUUUUUUAUUACUUCAUUUCCAUUUCCGUCGAAUGCCACCUACACACCAACAGUGGCGUGACAGCUGCAGACGAACAAUAUUACAACUGAGACAAAAACUGUUGAAGGCAUCCAGCAGAACAUUUGAAUAAAACAAAAAAAUUCAAUGCUUUUAGGUUCUUGAGACGGAAUACGCGCUUCGAUCAUUUAGAAUAAUGAAUUGAUUUUUUAAAUAUAUCAUGAGCGUUUGAGGUGUGCACUUUUGGAUUCUCCAAAUAAUUUUAUACGCAUUAUUGAAAUAUCAAAUUUAUUGAUUGAUUUUAAGUAUUUGCUAAUUACAUAUUUUUACAUUCGUUUAUUUUAUAAAGUUUUUAAAAUUGUCUUUUAAGAAAUUCGAAGUUCUGUCCAUAUUGACUUGUAACUGUUUACAAAAUAAAUUAUAUAUGCCAAAAAUUUAUAUAAUGAAUGUGAUUGUCUGUCAAAAAUAUAUGUAUAAAGUGUUAUAUAUUUCAUAGUAUUAACAAUGCGGUUGAUAUUAAAAAAAGUAUCGGGUCAUGUCUGAAGUGAAAAUUUUUAUAUUUUAUUUCAAUUUGAAAAUAAAAUUUGAAGUAAAAAUGAUAAUUAAAAGAACUGAGAGGUAUCCAGUGAUUGGAAAUAAGAUUAAUAAUUAAAGUUCAAAAUUAUCAUAGAAAUUUUCAAAUGCGAUAGUACAGCGGAUGAUACUAAUGCUUCUUAUAUUAACCCUUGAGUGCCUAAUCUCUGGAAUAGACAUUUUGAAACAUACAGAGAUAAUAACAGGACAUUCUUGCUGGUCAAAAAUAUAGAAUUUCAAGAUUCAAUUUUCGUUUUUAAGCUGUAACUUUUGGAUUAUCUUUCGGAUUUUAUUUAAGACUAAGGGUUGUUUAAGCUACUUAAUGAGAACUGAAAAGCUAUGGAAAUUUACAUCUCGAGCUUCAAAUCGUUGUCUUUUUGUUUAAAUCCAACAAUUUUAACCAAAGUUACAGCUUUUUAAAUUUAGACAAAUUUUAUAAACGAUAACAAAGUACAAGAAGAGAAACUUAUGGUAACAUUACAAUAAAUUAUGAGAAUGGUUCCCAUAAUGAAUGGUUACCGGUUUUUUUGAAAUGUUGAUUAUAGGAACGGCACUCAUAUAUAUUAUAGUUAUCAUUACUAUAACAAUAUAGAAAUCGUUACCAUAAUAUUAUGGUAUCCGUUACCAUAGCAUUAUGGUAACCAUCACCAUAUAUAUGGUACCCAUUACCAUAAAAUUAUGGUCACCAUUACCAUAUAUAUGGUACCCAUUAUUAUAUAUAUGGUAACCAUUACCAUAUAUAUGGUAUCCAUUACCAUAGCAUUAUGGUAACCAUCACCAUAUAUAUGGUACCCAUUACCAUAAAAUUAUGGUCACCAUUACCAUAUAUAUGGUACCCAUUAUUAUAUAUAUGGUAACCAUUACCAUAUAUAUGGUAUCCAUUACCAUAGCAUUAUGGUAACCAUCACCAUAUAUAUGGUACCCAUUACCAUAAAAUUAUGGUCACUAUUACCAUAUAUAUGGUACCCAUUACUAUAUAUAUGGUAACCAUUACCAUAUAUAUGGUACCCAUUACUAUAUAUAUGGUAACCAUUACCAUAUAUAUGGUAUCCAUUACCAUAGCAUUAUGGUAACCAUCACCAUAUAUAUGGUACCCAUUACCAUAACAUUAUGGUCACCAUUACCAUAUAUAUGGUACCCAUUACUAUAUAUAUGGUAACCAUUAACAUAUAUAUGGUAUCCAUUACCAUAGCAUCAUGGUAACCAUCACCAUAUAUGGUAAUGGUUACCAUAUAUGUGGUAACCAUUACCACAUAUGUGGAAAUGUUUACCAUAUAUAUGGUACCCAUUACUAUAUAUAUGGUAACCAUUAAUAUUUAUAUGGUAUCCAUUACCAUAGCAUUAUGGUAACCAUCACCAUAUAUAUGGUACCCAUUACUAUAUAUAUGGUAACCAUUAACAUAUAUAUGGUAUCCAUUACCAUAGCAUCAUGGUAACCAUCACCAUAUAUGGUAAUGGUUACCAUAUAUGUGGUAACUAUUACCACAUAUGUGGAAAUGUUUACCAUAUAUAUGGUACCCAUUACUAUAUAUAUGGUAACCAUUAAUAUAUAUAUGGUAUCCAUUACCAUAGCAUUAUGGUAACCAUCACCAUAUAUAUGGUACCCAUUACCAUAAAAUUAUGGUCACCAGUACCAUAUAUAUGGUACCCAUUACUAUAUAUAUGGUAACCAUUAACAUAUAUAUGGUAUCCAUUCCCAUAGCAUCAUGGUAACCAUCACCAUAUAUGGUAAUGGUUACCAUAUAUGUGGUAACCAUUACCACAUAUGUGGAAAUGUUUACCAUAUAUAUGGUACCCAUUACUAUAUAUAUGGUAACCAUCACCAUAUAUAUGGUACCCAUUACCAUAAAAUUAUGGUCACCAUUACCAUAUAUAUGGUACCCAUUACUAUAGAUAUGGUAACCAUUACCAUAUAUAUGGUAUCCAUUACCAUAGCAUUAUGGUAACCAUCACCAUACAUAUGGUAACCAUCACCAUAUAAAUGGUAACCAUCACCAUGUAUAUGGUAACCCUCACCAUAAAAUUAUGGUUACCAUUACCAUAUUUAUGGUAAUGGUUACCAUAUAUGUGGUAACCAUUACCACAAUGUGGAAAUGGUGACCAUAUAUAUGGUGCCCAUCUCCACAUAUAUUGUAACCAUCACUAUAUGAUAAUGGUUACCAUAAUAUUAUGGUAAUCAUUUUAUAAUUUUUUUACAUGCGAUAUGGGAUCUGUUACUAUAAUUAUAGGAAUUAUUCCCAUACUUAUGGGAACUUUUACCAGAAAGUAUGGACCUUUAUCCCAUAAUUUCAAGUAAUCAUUACCAUAAAGGUAUGGGAUGAUAUUUCAUAAACGUACUAGGUACGCUUACCAUAAAUUUCUCUCCAUGUACAGUAUUACUUAUUUAAUCAAUUAAUCAGUUCGUAAAAUAAGUAAGUAUCAUUUGCAUAUAAUGUAAGCCUUCAAUGCGAUUACGGCACAAUAAAUUUCAGAUAAAAUAAAUAAAUAAAUAAAUAAAUAAUGAAGCUAAAAUAAUAACCAUUCAUUUCCUAGUGUUAUUUUGAACUCGAUUUAGAGUCAUAUCUAGAUUACUACAUUGCCCAUUUGUAAAUUAACUUACAUUUUUACUAACUAGAGUAUAUAUUAUUGAAACGUAAAUUAUUAAAUUCAUUAAAUUAUUAAAGUUAUUAUACAAAAUAAUAAUAUGGCACAAAAGUUAUGUCGAUUAAUUAUAAGACACUAGUCAAUACGGCUCAAAUAUGUGUACGAAUAAUUACUGUUUAUUGCAUUGUGUUUUAGAAGGACAAAAUACAUAUUAUAUAUCGAACCGAAUGUAAAUAAAAUACAUUAUAGAAAUAAAAAAUUAUGAAUAUUAUUCAUUGUAAAUUAUUAAUAAAUAUUUCAUCAUUGUUAUUGCUGUUUUUAUUACUGUAUUAAAUCUUGUAGCAAAACCAAAACAUGUUUAAAUAUAGUUAUAUACAUCAGGGUCUGAUUGAAAAAUUCCAUAAAAUCAAUUCUUGAAAAGUUACAGAGAUUUAAACGCUUAGUUAAAUUGUUAAAAAAAUAUCAGUUAUUUUGCAAAAUUUUUUAAGGAUAUAUUUAUUAAGCUAUUGAUCCUACUUAAUUUUUUUGGUAGAAGAAAAUAAACUGGUAUCAUGGGAAAGGAAACUUGCAGGUACCUUG